ensembl:lncRNA
GUGAUGGGGAUCCAGGGGUAUGGGGUUGGGUUUGGGGUCUGGGAGGUGAUGGGGAUCCAGGGAUAUGGGGUUGGGUUUGGGGUCUGGGAGGUGAUGGGGAUCCAGGGGUAUGGGGUUGGGUUUGGGGCCUGGGAGGUGAUGGGGAUCCAGGGAUAUGGGGUUGGGUUUGGGGUCUGGGAGGUGAUGGGGAUCCAGGGAUAUGGGGUUAGGUUUGGGGUCUGGGAGGUGAUGGGGAUCCAGGGAUAUGGGGUUAGGUUUGGGGUCUGGGAGGUGAUGGGGAUCCAGGGAUAUGGGGUUAGGUUUGGGGUCUGGGAGGUGAUGGGGAUCCAGGGAUAUGGGGUUGGGUUUGGCACUGGGAGGUGAUGGGGAUCCAGGGGUAUGGGGUUGGGUUUGGGGUCUGGGAGGUGAUGCUGAGCUGCGGGUGCUGGGGGAGCAGUCAGCCUCGCAUGGCCGCGUGGUGGGAUCUGUGCCGGAGCCCUAUUUGUAGUACAGCACACAAUGGGUGAUGGGCCGUCGGUGAUGAGCGACGGGAGAUGAGGGGGGGAUGAUGGGUUGUGGGAUGUCAGUGGGGUCAGUGGUUGGUGGUGGGUGGUGGGUGAUGGGCAGUGGGCAGCGGUGGGUGAUGGGGAAUGGGCAAUAGGUGCCGGGCAAUGGGAGAUGGGUGUUGGGCAAUGGGCGAUGGGCGAUGGGUGAUGGCACCCAGCGGGGGUCGGGGGUCCCAGGGCUCCUCACAUCCAUCCCCACUGCUUCAAAGGGACAGGACUGUGCCUGUGGGUGCGCGCUGCUGCCCCACACGGGGCUCAUUAACGGCUCGAUGGGGGAGAAGCGUGUCCCCGUGGCGUG